rnacentral:tRNA from 1 species
GGAGGUUUAGCUCAGUGGCAUAAGCACCUGCCUUGCAAGCAGGCAGUUGUGAGUUCAAUCCCCA